rnacentral:rRNA from 1 species
UACGGAGGGGGCUAGCGUUGUUCGGAAUUACUGGGCGUAAAGCGCACGUAGGCGGAUUGUUAAGUCGGGGGUGAAAUCCCGGGGCUCAACCCCGAAACUGCCUUAGAAACUGGCAAUCUAGAGUUCUGGAGAGGUGAGUGGAAUUCCGGGUGUAGAGGUGAAAUUCGUAGAGAUUCGGAGGAAUACCUGUGGCGAAGGCGGCUCACUGGACAGACACUGACGCUCAGGUGCGAAAGCGUGGGGAGCAAACAGG